rnacentral:rRNA from 1 species
UAGGGAAUCUUCCACAAUGGACGCAAGUCUGAUGGAGCAACGCCGCGUGAGUGAAGAAGGUUUUCGGAUCGUAAAGCUCUGUUGUUGGUGAAGAAGGAUAGAGGCAGUAACUGGCCUUUAUUUGACGGUAAUCAACCAGAAAGUCACGGCUAACUACGUGCCAGCAGCCGCGGUAAUACGUAGGUGGCAAGCGUUGUCCGGAUUUAUUGGGCGUAAAGCGAGCGCAGGCGGAAGAAUAAGUCUGAUGUGAAAGCCCUCGGCUUAACCGAGGAACUGCAUCGGAAACUGUUUUUCUUGAGUGCAGAAGAGGAGAGUGGAACUCCAUGUGUAGCGGUGGAAUGCGUAGAUAUAUGGAAGAACACCAGUGGCGAAGGCGACUCUCUGGUCUGCAACUGACGCUGAGGCUCGAAAGCAUGGGUAGCGAACAGGAUUAGAUACCCUGGUAGUCCAUGCCGUAAACGAUGAGUGCUAAGUGUUGGGAGGUUUCCGCCUCUCAGUGCUGCAGCUAACGCAUUAAGCACUCCGCCUGGGGAGUACGACCGCAAGGUUGAAACUCU